rnacentral:ncRNA from 1 species
UGUGAAUAAUGUGCUUGAGGAAGGAUUGAUUGACCCUUCCAUGAGAUCUUUCUUGACAUGAAUAUCAUGCUUAAGGAAGGGUUAGUUGAGCCUUCCAAAAGCUCUCCUUUAACAUGAAUACUAUGCUUGGGGAAGGCUCAACCAACCCUUCCUUGGGAUUCCCCUCAAUGGGAAUACUAUGCUUGAGGAAUGGUCGAUUGACCCUUGCUUGUGCUCACUCUAGAUGGAAAUACUCGCGGGGGAUUUUCCAAAGGCGAUGAACAAUAGACUCAGAACUAGUAUGGACACAGGGAAUCCGAUUGUUUAAUUAAAAGAAAACACUGUGAUGGUCCGUGCCAACGCUGACACAAUGUGAUUUCUUCUCACUGCUCUAAAUGUCAAAGUGAAGAAAUUCAACCAAGCGCGGGUAAACAACAUGAGUAACUGUGACUCUCUUAAGGUAUCCAAAUUCCUUGUCAUCUAAUUAGUGACACAUGAAUGGAUUAACAACAUUCCCACUGCCCCUAUCUACUAUCUAGUGAAACCACAACCAAGGGAUCUGCCUUGGCAGAAUUAGUGGGGAAAGAAGACCCUGUUGAGCUUGACUCUAGUCCGACUUUGUGAAAUGACUAUGCUCGAGGAAGGAUUAGAUGACUCCUCCCUAGGUUCCCCCUAAAUGUGAAUACUAAGCUUGAAGAAGGAUUAAAUGGUCCUUCCUUAGGCUACCUCAUGGUGA